GAUGAACGCUGGCGGCGUGCCUAAUACAUGCAAGUCGAGCGAACAGACGAGGAGCUUGCUCCUCUGACGUUAGCGGCGGACGGGUGAGUAACACGUGGAUAACCUACCUAUAAGACUGGGAUAACUUCGGGAAACCGGAGCUAAUACCGGAUAAUAUAUUGAACCGCAUGGUUCAAUAGUGAAAGACGGUUUUGCUGUCACUUGUAGAUGGAUCCGCGCCGCAUUAGCUAGUUGGUAAGGUAGUGGCUUACCAAGGCUACGAUGCGUAGCCGGCAUGAGAGGGUGACCGGCAAGAUUGGGACUGAGAGAGGGGCCAGACUGCUACGGGAGGAAGGAGUGGGGAAGAUUGAACGAUGGGCGGAAGCCUGAUGAAGCAAUGUAGCGUGCGGGAUGACGGCAUUCGGGUUGUAAACCGCUUUCGCCUGUGACGAAGAGUGAGUGACGGUAAUGGGUAAAGAAGCACGGGCUAACUACGUG
rnacentral:rRNA from 1 species